GCGCCUUCUAAAUUUAGCUCUGACAUAGAAUUAGUGAGUGGUUUCUGUAGUGGAAAGCAAUGGCCCAGUGGUUACUAAGCAACUGGUGCCUGGCAACCUUGUUGGUAAGCAUCGAUUCUGCUGGCGGUAUUCAAAGCAGAGAAAGGUAAAAACGCCUUUGUGCUGCUUUGACGGAUGUGGAUUCAGGACGAGAAGCAGAUCCACCGGUUGAUUUGUGUGAGCUCCGCCGACGACUGAUGGGACGGAUCCUUUUACAGAAGAGGCCCGUUGCUCCAGCGGUUCAGGAGCCGAACCCACCAAUAAAGAUCCUGGCUCGUUAAGCCCCGCCCACUCCAGCCAAGCUCGGCUCAUGGGUUAUUCUUGUUAAAUCAAAGGUGUUUUAGUUCCAUUACAAAAACUAAAAAACAUUUAUUGUUUGCAGAGGAAGAGAUUUGCUCUUAACACAUUUGUUGUUGCUUCAGACAUGGAGGAGCUCUGAAGCAUCAUGGGAAAAUCCAGCCGGUAACACGCCACCUGUGGUCCUGGAAGCUAAACGUGAACCGAUGCCCCCCCCCCCCACAACCCCCUGCCCACCCGGUCCGGCUGUUUGUUCAACAUUCGGACGCCAGGUUCAAUCUGCGUCGUUCUUCAUCCAUGACAUGACGUUCAUGAGGAGGGGAAAGAAGAGGGCAAAGAACGUGACAGUCACCUGCAUCUGAUGAAGGACGCGUUGUGCUCCAUCAGUUCCAGGAGACUUGUGGGCACGGGACGUCUCGUACUAGCCGGGUCCCCCACACGACAAAGUGAAUGGACCGAGGCAGCACGGCA
ensembl:lncRNA